rnacentral:rRNA from 1 species
CCCGUGCAGAAGCGGGGAUACACCCAUAAGACGAGAAGACCCUAUGGAGCUUUAGACACCAAGGCAUAUCAUGUCAAACACCCCUAAACAAAGGACUAAACCAAAUGAACUAUGCCCCCAUGUCUUUGGUUGGGGCGACCGCGGGGAAAUAAAAAACCCCCACGUGGAAUGGGAGCACUGCCUCCUACAACCAAGAGCUGCAGCUCUAAUUAACAGAAUUUCUGACCAAUAAGAUCCGGCAAUGCCGAUCAACGGACCGAGUUACCCUAGGGAUAACAGCGCAAUCCCCUUUUAGAGCCCAUAUCGACAAGGGGGUUUACGACCUCGAUGUUGG